AGAGCCCUAGAGAGAUAAUAGGGCUCUGGUUCACAUUAGAAACAUUCACGUCAGUUUGAGCGGUCUCCUCCUGCGAGCUACAGCUGUCUGUAUGUCUGCUACAGGAGUUUAUGGAUUAAUAUCGGGAUCGUUUUACAUCUACACGUUAAAUAUGAGCAUCGGGACGUCAACAAAGAACAGAAGACUUGAGAUCUGAGCACCAGUGGACAGUGAGGACUAUGGAACAGAAGAUGUGAUGGCUUUGUGUGGAAAGCUGCUGGCCUGCCUGUGUCCCUCUCAUCAGUCUCUCCAAGCAGCACCCAGCUAUUCUUCCAUCUUGCAGAUGAAAAGACUUUGAUAUGGUGUGAAACCAGGCAGAGUGAGUGACAUGGUGUUCAUUUCCACUAUGCCAAAGCA